UGGGGACAGAUCUAGGACAGCUCUCUGAUUAUCCUCCCUUGCUAGUAUUCAUACUAUUGUAUGAUCCCUUCUCUGUGAGUGUAGGUGGAACUUGUAAGUUGCUUGUAAACAGUAAAUUAUGACAAAGAUGAUAUGAUGUCACUGUCAUUAUUAUGUCACAUAAGAUUAUGUCUUCCAUCUUGCUAGUAGACCCUCUCCAUUAACUCUCUAUCUUUCUUGUUGAGUGUAAGCUGCUGUAUGAAGGGAUCCACAAGACAAAUAAUUAAGGAUGACCUCUAGUCAACAGCCAGCAAGGAACUGAAUCCCUCAGACCCACAGCUCACAAGAAACAGAAGUGAAGCAGAUUCUUCCUCAGUCAAGUUUCAGUGUAAUUACAUUAAACCGCUUCCUGGAACCAUGGGACUGUGAUGUGCCUUCAUCUAACACGUCUGCUUUAUUGCUCUCACAACCAGUCCCAGGAAAGAGCUGGGGUUUUGGUAUAGCCCCCAACAAGCCACUCUCCUCUCUGCUCAAGCCAGUUACUUCUCUGACUCUGGGGUACCUGAGUCACCCCGAAGGCGAAUGUCUUUAAGCCCUAGGAAGCUUUCUGCUUCUUGAUCAGUGGAAAAUGACCUUAAGCUACCUGAAAGCUCCCUGUCUCCUCAAAUCUCAUCUCCCCAUUCCCCCACCAUCCCCUCUCCAGCUCAUCUCACACCUGGAAGUCUGCAUGAAAGAAGUUUCCACCCCACUAAUAACCUGAAGAAACAAGUGCAGUUCAAAGGAGACCCAUUAACUGAGUUCCACAGCCUAGUCAACAGCAGCUCAACAGUAAGAAUGAGCAAAGCAUGCAAGUUCUUUAGGGAAUUUUACCCAAACCUGCUGGGCAGCUCAAUUAUCCCUAUCUCAUUUCCGCUGGGAAUUCCAAGGAGCUGGUCCUCAAAACACACCAGGAGCCCUUUCCUUUCUGCAGAGCUCUGAGAUCAAAAGAAAUUCCAUCCUGCUACCCUUGAUGCUGGGACCUUUUCCUCCUUGGCCAUUUCCUAGCUUAUUUCCAAGUGGAUUGGAAGGUGUCCAAAGGCCUAAGUUCCAGUCUCAGGUUUAUAGACUGAGUUCCAGUCACAGGUUUAUAUACUGUGAAGUCUCACACCACGUCAGGAAGCAGUAAGUGGCAUGGCCAUCUCGAGGAAGAACCGCCAGUCUCUAGGGAGUUUAGGUCUUAGAUGUGAAGCCUCAAGUAAUUUGCAGAGAUUGUCUUGCCUGCAUAACACACCCUGUUGUUGCCUUUAUAAAGCCAAACUGACAGGGGUUUGUGAAUCAGAACGAUGACUUUGCAUUUCGGCUUAGGGAAGGUGCCCAGUUGGAUUUGUAGAGAAGAACAACCACACCCUCUGCAGUACAGCACCUGGAGAGGAACUGCUGCCAUGACCAUACAGGACACCCUCUGGAUACAAUGCCAGACUUGAUGUGGGACUUACUAACCUAUGGACCCCAGGCACCACCACCUAGACCUGCUCAGCACCUGAAACUUUUCUAUCUCCUGUUCACUCUUCAUGUAGACAUAUCUUCAAGUCAUCUUCUCCAGGUGAUACAAACCUUAAGAGCAUCUUUGUACCCAUCAGGAACGAGUACACAGAGGCUGUGCAACCCUGGAGGCUGCAACCUUUUGUGAAAAAUAAGCUCUCCUUUCCAAAUGUACAAACCUCAUCAUUCUUCAGUUGACAACACUGAGGUUGCUACCUCCCCUGUGGCUGGCAGCAGGAUGAGCCCCAGAUGUGUUUCCAACAUUCACAGCCAUGGAGAGAGAACCGUUCACUGCCACCACCUACACUUCAGGCCCUUUACAGCAGCAGGGUGACAAAGGAAGAGGGAAAUCGACUUGGGAAAGAGAAUUGUUUUGGAUAUUAUGGGUCUGUUGCAAUUCCAUAUGAAUGUUACAAUCAUCUUGUCAGUUUCCACAGAACCCAGAGAUUCCAACAGCUACAGAGGAGGAAGGAACCCACAGCAGCCUAUGUUAACUAGUUCAGCUUCUAUGCAUCUCUCCUUUGAAUGUCUUGGAAGAUACACAUUUGUGGUGGUGCUGUCGCAGGGAGAACCCCAAAACUGGCUUCUUGGCUUCUCAUAGGAAAAAUUUCAUGUGUUGGUGGACAGAGUGAAGUGAAAGCAAAUUUGUUAAGAAAGUAAAGGAAUAAAAAGGUGGCUGCUCUGUAGGCAGCGCUGCC